GCAGUAAAUUUUAAUCACAUGUGUGCUUUAAGAACUCAUUAUUUUGAUACUAAAAUAAUCUUGAGUGCCUUGUGAAGUUUAAUAAAAUGCUCCGCAGGGCGCAGCUUGAUACGACCCCAGAGGUCGAACCCUGAACAGUUGGGGCAAGUAUGGACACAACAUUCAAGCUUGAUACAGCUCUAAAUUUGGAUUGUGAUUAAAUAUUUGACACAGCAUAGGUUUCUGACACAGAAAGAAUGUGGUCUAAGAACUUCAAUUUUUUUAAUUUACCUAUUAUGGUCCAAUGUCCAAAAUCAAAAUACAUGGUUAGAUUCAGCAUAUCAAAGAACCCCAUAUAUUCAAUUUUUGUUGAAAUCAAACAAAGUUUAAUUUUGGACCCCAACUUGGACAAACUUGAAAACUGGUCCCAUAAUCAAAAAUCUAAACACAUGUUUAAAUUCAG